UCAGGAUGAACGCUAGCUACAGGCUUAACACAUGCAAGUCGAGGGGCAGCAUUGGAGUAGCAAUACUCAGAUGGCGACCGGCGCACGGGUGAGUAACACGUAUCCAACCUGCCGCUUACUCGGGGAUAGCCUUUCGAAAGAAAGAUUAAUACCCGAUGGUAUAAAGAGUUCGCAUGUUCUCUUUAUUAAAGAAUUUCGGUAAGCGAUGGGGAUGCGUUCCAUUAGAUAGUUGGCGGGGUAACGGCCCACCAAGUCUACGAUGGAUAGGGGUUCUGAGAGGAAGGUCCCCCACAUUGGAACUGAGACACGGUCCAAACUCCUACGGGAGGCAGCAGUGAGGAAUAUUGGUCAAUGGACGAGAGUCUGAACCAGCCAAAGUAGCGUGAAGGAUGACUGCCCUAUGGGUUGUAAACUUCUUUUAUAAGGGAAUAAAGUGAGGGACGUGUCCCUUUUUGUAUGUACCUUAUGAAUAAGGAUCGGCUAACUCCGUGCCAGCCGCCGC
rnacentral:rRNA from 1 species